AGAAACUUACAACAAAGAGUCCCUCCCGACUGUUUACCAAAAACACAGCACUCUGCUAACUCGUAAGAGGAUGUAUAGGGUGUGACGCCUGCCCGGUGCUCGAAGGUUAAUUGAUGGGGUUAGCAUUAGCGAAGCUCUUGAUCGAAGCCCGAGUAAACGGCGGCCGUAACUAUAACGGUCCUAAGGUAGCGAAAUUCCUUGUCGGUUAAAUACCGACCUGCAUGAAUGGCGUAACGAGAUGGGAGCUGUCUCAAAGAGGGAUCCAGUGAAAUUGUAGUGGAGGUGAAAAUUCC
rnacentral:rRNA from 1 species